rnacentral:rRNA from 1 species
CCUACGGGCGGCAGCAGUGAGGAAUAUUGGUCAAUGGGCGGGAGCCUGAACCAGCCAAGCCGCGUGAGGGAAGAAGGUACAGCGUAUCGUAAACCUCUUUUGUCAGGGAACAAAGGCGGGGACUAGUCCCCGGAUGAGGGUACCUGAAGAAAAAGCAUCGGCUAACUCCGUGCCAGCAGCCGCGGUAAUACGGAGGAUGCGAGCGUUAUCCGGAUGUAUUGGGUUUAAAGGGUGCGCAGGCGGCCUGGUAAGUCAGCGGUAAAAGCCCGGGGCUCAACCCGGCCGAGCCGUGGAAACUGGCGGGCUGGAGUUGGGGAGAGGGACGCGGAAUGCGCGGUGUAGCGGUGAAAUGCUUAGAUAUCGCGCAGAACCCCGAUUGCGAAGGCAGCGUACCGGCUCCACACUGACGCUGAGGCACGAAAGCGUGGGUAGCGAACAGGAUUAGAUACCCUUGUAGUC